CUGAGGGAAAGCUCCUCUCUGCUGGAGCUCCAGAGACAGUCAGAGGUCCUGAUGGCCUCUAUACUGUCAGCAGCAGAGUGACUGUGGAGAAGAGCCACAGCAACAGCUUCACCUGCAGGGUUCAGCAGAGCAAAAUACAGCAAACCAGGGACACACAGAUUCAUGUUCCAGAUGAUUUCUUCCCGUCUUCUCCUGCUGUUCAUAUCACCAUCGGCUUGUCUGUUGUCUUCCUGUGUGUUGCUGCUGUCGUCGUCUUUGUUGUGUGCAAAUGGAGGCGUAAAAAAA